CAAGUCGAACGCGAAAGUGGAGCAAUCCAUGAGUAGCGUGGCAAACGGGUGAGUAACACAUGGGUGACCUGCCUUCGAGCGGGGGAUAACGUCCCGAAAGGGACGCUAAUACCGCAUGACAUCCUGCCUUUUAACAGGCGGAGAUCAAAGCCGGGGAUCGCAAGACCUGGCACUUGAAGAGGGGCCCGCGCCUGAUUAGCUAGUUGGUGGGGUAAUGGCUCACCAAGGCGACGAUCAGUAUCCGGCCUGAGAGGGCGGACGGACACACUGGGACUGAGACACGGCCCAGACUCCUACGGGAGGCAGCAGUGGGGAAUUGUUCGCAAUGGGCGCAAGCCUGACGACGCAACGCCGCGUGGAGGAUGAAGAUCUUCGGGUCGUAAACUCCUUUCGAUCGAGACGAAUGGCCUUCGGGUGAAUAAUCCGGAGGAAUGACGGUACCGAGAGAAGAAGCCCCGGCUAACUCCGUGCCAGCAGCCGCGGUAAUACGGGGGGGGCAAGCGUUGUUCGGAAUUACUGGGCGUAAAGGGCUCGUAGGUGGCCAACUAAGUCAGACGUGAAAUCCCUCGGCUUAACCGGGGAACUGCGUCUGAUACUGGAUGGCUUGAGUUUGGGAGAGGGACGCGGAAUUCCAGGUGUAGCGGUGAAAUGCGUAGAUAUCUGGAGGAACACCGGUGGCGAAGGCGGCGUCCUGGACCAACACUGACACUGAGGAGCGAAAGCCAGGGGAGCAAACGGGAUUAGAUACCCCGGUAGUCCUGGCCCUAAACGAUGAAUGCUUGGCGUGGCGGGUAUCGAUCCCUGCCGUGCCGAAGCUAACGCAUUAAGCAUUCCGCCUGGGGAGUACGGUC
rnacentral:rRNA from 1 species